GACGAACGCUGGCGGCGUGCUUAACACAUGCAAGUCGAACGAGAAAGCCCUUCGGGGUAAGUACAGUGGCGAACGGGUGAGUAACACGUGGGCAACCUGCCCCAGAGAGCGGGACAACCCGGGGAAACCCGGGCUAAUACCGCAUGAUGCGUCUCCACUUAAGUGGAGCCGCCAAAUGGUAGCUUCGGCCUCCGCUCUGGGAUGGGCCCGCGCCGGAUUAGCUAGUUGGUUGGGGUAACGGCCCACCAAGGCGACGAUCCGUAGCUGGUCUGAGAGGACGAUCAGCCACACUGGGACUGAGACACGGCCCAGACUCCUACGGGAGGCAGCAGUGGGGAAUCUUGCGCAAUGGGCGAAAGCCUGACGCAGCAACGCCGCGUGGGGGAAGAAGGCCUUCGGGUUGUAAACCUCUUUCAGUAGGGACGAAGCUUCCGGGGUUAAUAGCCUACGGGGUGACGGUACCUACAGAAGAAGCCCCGGCUAACUACGUGCCAGCCGCCGCUGUAA
rnacentral:rRNA from 1 species